GAUGAACGCUGGCGGCGUGCCUAAUACAUGCAAGUCGAGCGAACGGACGAGAAGCUUGCUUCUCUGAUGUUAGCGGCGGACGGGUGAGUAACACGUGGAUAACCUACCUAUAAGACUGGGAUAACUUCGGGAAACCGGAGCUAAUACCGGAUAAUAUUUUGAACCGCAUGGUGCAAAAGUGAAAGACGGUCUUGCUGUCACUUAUAGAUGGAUCCCCGCUGCAUUAGCUAGUUGGUAAGGUAACGGCUUACCAAGGCAACGAUGCAUAGCCGACCUGAGAGGGUGAUAGGCCACCCUGGAACUGAGACACGUUCCAGACUCCUACGGGAGGCAGCAGUAGGGAAUCUUACGCAAUGGGCGAAAGCCUGACGGAGCAACGGCGCGUGAGUGAUGAAGGUCUUCGGAUCGUAAAACUCUGUUAUUAGGGAAGAACAUAUGUGUAAGUAACUGUGCACAUCUUGACGGUACCUAAUCAGAAAGCCACGGCUAACUACGUG
rnacentral:rRNA from 1 species